GAAAAACUGAAAGUCGUCGGAAUCGAACGGAACAAGGAUGGGUAGGGUCGGAAAUUAAGGCCCACCAAACUGUCCUUCUGGAGCGAAGCCAAAAACUGGCCGGAAACAGCCCACGCGCCGGCGCGUGGUCUGACGCGCCGACAACUGUGGCGGCGCGUGGCGGCGCGUGACGGGGAGUCUGCCGGAGAAAUUUCUGGGGUUUGGUCG
rnacentral:lncRNA from 1 species